CCUACGGGAGGCAGCAGUGAGGAAUAUUGGUCAAUGGCCGGGAGGCUGAACCAGCCAAGUCGCGUGAGGGAAGACGGCCCUACGGGUUGUAAACCUCUUUUGUCAGGGAGCAAGGUGCAGGUCGGGACCUGCUGUGAGAGUACCUGAAGAAAAAGCAUCGGCUAACUCCGUGCCAGCAGCCGCGGUAAUACGGAGGAUGCGAGCGUUAUCCGGAUUUAUUGGGUUUAAAGGGUGCGCAGGCGGAGGCACAAGUCAGCGGUAAAAAUUCGGGGCUCAACCCCGUCGUGCCGUUGAAACUGAUGUUCUUGAGUGGGCGAGAAGUAUGCGGAAUGCGUGGUGUAGCGGUGAAAUGCAUAGAUAUCACGCAGAACUCCGAUUGCGAAGGCAGCAUACCGGCGCCCAACUGACGCUGAAGCACGAAAGCGUGGGUAUCGAACAGGAUUAGAUACCCUUGUAGUC
rnacentral:rRNA from 1 species